rnacentral:rRNA from 1 species
AUUAGAUACCCUGGUAGUCCGCGCCGUAAACGGUGGGCGCUAGUUGUGGGAACCUUCCACGGUUUCUGCGACGCAGCUAACGCAUUAAGCGCCCCGCCUGGGGAGUACGAUCGCAAGAUUAAAACUCAAAGGAAUUGACGGGGCCCCGCACAAGCAGCGGAGCAUGCGGCUUAAUUCGACGCAACGCGAAGAACCUUACCAAGGCUUGACAUAUACCGAAAAGCAGCAGAGAUGUUGUGUCCGCAAGGGUGGUAUACAGGUGGUGCAUGGUUGUCGUCAGCUCGUGUCGUGAGAUGUUGGGUUAAGUCCCGCAACGAGCGCAACCCUCGUUCUGUGUUGCCAGCAUUUAGUUGGGGACUCACAGGAGGCUGCCGUGGUUAACACGGAGGAAGGUGGGGAUGACGUCAAAUCAUCAUGCCCCUUAUGUCUUGGGCUGCACGCAUGCUACAAUGGCAGGUACAAAGGGCUGCAAUACCGUAAGGUGGAGCGAAUCCCAAAAAGUCUGUCUCAGUUCGGAUUGAGGUCUGCAACUCGACCUCAUGAAGUCGGAGUUGCUAGUAAUCGUAGAUCAGCAACGCUACGGUGAAUACGUUCCCGGGGCUUGUACACACCGCCCGUCACGUCACGAAAGUCGGUAACACCCAAAGUCAGUGGCCCAACC